GGAAAAGAGAAACAAGGGAAGGAUACGGUUCAAAACCAUAAAAGCACCUGCUCUACCUUACCUAUUCUGUUUCCAAAAGUCCUGCUGCUGCGCGGGCGAACGAUCUACAAAUCUUUAACAUCACGAAAUAAUCGAACGAAAUGGGGUUUUGUUAUCCCUCCACUCCGAAGAAGAUGGCGAUGACGGCUGGAAUGUUCGGUGCGGGAGCUGGCCUUUUUGCUUACGGAUUGCAUCUCUGGUACGUUAACAUCGCCCCUCAGCGGGCCCGUAUCCAAGCUCGUAACGAGUUCGUGAAAGAAAGAUUUAGACAAAAGUACGGGAAGGAAACUGGCCGAUUCUGAGAGGUAUGAUAUACUUUACAUGGAUCGGGCGAGAUUGGUGGAACGGUUUUUCUUCAAGGAUCUUAGUUAGCAUUUCAGAAUCAGUUUUGCUUCCUGGUUGAUUACAUGAAAUGUUACUGCCGGAGUAGCCAUCCAACACAAUACCGAUCUGUCCUUUUACCUUGUUCGUUUUCAGAUGGAAAGAAUGAGAAAACACAAUGGCAUGUGGAACUGGAAUAGAAUGAGUAUUCUCUUUCAUCUCGCUAGCUUUUUGAUUCA